rnacentral:rRNA from 1 species
GACGAACGCUGGCGGCGCGCCUAACACAUGCAAGUCGAACGAGCGAGAGAGAGCUUGCUUUCUUGAGCGAGUGGCGAACGGGUGAGUAACGCGUGAGGAACCUGCCUCAAAGAGGGGGACAACAGUUGGAAACGACUGCUAAUACCGCAUAAGCCCACGGUGCCGCAUGGCACCGAGGGAAAAGGAGCAAUCCGCUUUGAGAUGGCCUCGCGUCCGAUUAGCUAGUUGGUGAGGUAACGGCCCACCAAGGCGACGAUCGGUAGCCGGACUGAGAGGUUGAACGGCCACAUUGGGACUGAGACACGGCCCAGACUCCUACGGGAGGCAGCAGUGGGGAAUAUUGCACAAUGGGGGAAACCCUGAUGCAGCGACGCCGCGUGGAGGAAGAAGGUCUUCGGAUUGUAAACUCCUGUUGUUGGGGAAGAUAAUGACGGUACCCAACAAGGAAGUGACGGCUAACUACGUG